rnacentral:tRNA from 1 species
GCCCGCCUAGCUCAAUCGGAUAGAGCGUCAGACUCUUAAAUGAGUGCGGGUUACGUUGUCGAUUGACAUCUGAAGGCUGCGAGUUCGACCCUCGCGGUGGGCU